rnacentral:lncRNA from 1 species
GGCCGCCGUUUCUUCCUAGUCCCGGGACCCCUCUCCCUGCUCCUAUUGGCUAUCACGCCCACCGACAGCGCAACCUAUUGGUCGGCCUGUCGCUGGGUCCCGCCCUCGCUCCCACGUGACCGCGAAGCCGCCUGGCGGUGGGGCCGAGAUGGUCCCUCUAGCGGUGCUAGGGGCUUCUGCGGGGCCACCUGCGUUAACCCUUCGCUUCCCGAGGGCUUGGGGGACGAGGGCACCGCCAUUCCUUCUUCCCCAGGAACCCAGACUCGGCCAGGAACGGAAACCUGGAUUGUAUCUUGGCUGCACAGGGGGUAGGAGUUGUGACUCAGGAGUCGGAAUCGACAGCCCCAAGGAUGUUGACAAGCUCGUCCGGGGGCCAGUGGUCUCUCCAUAGUGUUUGUCUAGAGAGGGAGAGGUCUGGAGCAAGCCUGAGCUUCCAGUCCUGCAGAAGAAGGUUGUGGACAGAUGAGGGCUGGACAGAACAGGGUCCCUGGCUGAGGCCCCUUGGUCAGUACGGUUUUACCCUCCACCAAGCACACACAGGGGGAAAGAAGUGAGCCUAACUCCCCAUUCAAAGGCUUUGAGACACAGCAACAUUUAUGACGAGAAAGUUCACUGUGGUGGUUUGAAACAACAAGAAAUUGGAAAACAUCCAAGUGCCUUCAGUGGGGAUCUGUAACUUAAGCUGGGUGGUGGAUCCCAUGAAGCCUUUGAGAAGGGUGAGGUGGAGGGAUAGUGUAUCUGCAAGGAAAGAUCUCAUGCCAUAUGAAGUGAAAAAAAAAAAACACGUUUUCAAUCUCGUUUUAAUUUUAAAAAUAACAACCCACUAAACAGUGUUUCCCGGGUACGUGGGUGGCUCAGUUAAGAGUCUGACUCUUGGGGCGCCUGGGUGGCGCAGUCGGUUAAGCGCCUGACUUCAGCCAGGUCACGAUCUCGCGGUCCAUGAGUUUGAGCCCCGCGUCAGGCUCUGGGCUGAUGGCUCAGAGCCUGGAGCCUGUUUCCGAUUCUGUGUCUCCCUCUCUCUCUGCCCCUCCCCCAUUCAUGCUCUGUCUCUCUCUGUCCCAAAAAUAAAUAAACGUUGAAAAAAGAAUUAAAAAAAAAA